AGAAUCAACGCUGGCGGCGUGCCUAACACAUGCAAGUCGAACGAGAAAGUGGAGCAAUCCAUGAGUAAAGUGGCGACCGGGUGAGUAACACGUGACCAAUCUACCCUUGAGUGGGGGAUAACCUCGGGAAACCGGGGCUAAUACCGCAUAAUAUCCUUGGAACGGAAGUACUGGGGAUCAAAGGAGCAAUUCGCUUAAGGAGGAGGUCGCGGCUGAUUAGCUAGUUGGCGGGGUAAUGGCCCACCAAGGCUUAGAUCGGUAGCCGGCCUGAGAGGGCGCACGGCCACACUGGAACUGAAACACGGUCCAGACUCCUACGGAGGCAGCAGUGGGGAAUUUUUGCGCAAUGGGGAAACCCUGACGCAGCAACGCCGCGUGGAGGAUGAAGUCCCUUGGGACGUAAACUCCUUUCGACCCGGACGAUAAUGACGGUACGGGUGGAAGAAGCCCCGGCUAACUUCGUGCCAGCAGCCGC
rnacentral:rRNA from 1 species